GGCCUGUGAUGUUUUGAUAUUGUCCGUACCAUCUGAGAAAAUCUUUGAUGUUUCUAUCACUAGCUUCUGAGGCCU
rfam:Prunus persica cultivar Lovell chromosome G4, whole genome shotgun sequence.